UACAGAGGUCUCAAGCGUUGUUCGGAUUCAUUGGGCGUAAAGGGUGCGUAGGCGGCUUUCUAAGUCUGGUGUGAAAUCCCGGGGCUCAACCUCGGAACUGCACUGGAUACUGGGAGGCUUGAGCACUGGAGAGGGAACUGGAAUUUACGGUGUAGCAGUGAAAUGCGUAGAGAUCGUAAGGAAGACCAGUGGCGAAGGCGAGUUCCUGGACAAUUCCUGACGCUGAGGCACGAAAGCUAGGGGAGCAAACAGG
rnacentral:rRNA from 1 species